rnacentral:rRNA from 1 species
CAACUCGCCUGCAUGAAGUUGGAAUUGCUAGUAAUCGCGAAUCAGAAUGUCGCGGUGAAUACGUUCCCGGGCCUUGUACACACCGCCCGUCACACCAUGAGAGUCGAUAACACCCGAAGCCUGUGAGCUAACCUUUUAGGAGGCAGCAGUCGAAGGUGGGGUUGAUGAUUGGGGUGAAGUCGUAACAAGGUAGC